rnacentral:rRNA from 1 species
UUAGUACGGCGAGUGAGCGGCAAAAGCUCAAAUUUGAAAUCUGGUACCUUCGGUGCCCGAGUUGUAAUUUGGAGAGGGCAACUUUGGGGCCGUUCCUUGUCUAUGUUCCUUGGAACAGGACGUCAUAGAGGGUGAGAAUCCCGUGUGGCGAGGAGUGCGGUUCUUUGUAAAGUGCCUUCGAAGAGUCGAGUUGUUUGGGAAUGCAGCUCUAAGUGGGUGGUAAAUUCCAUCUAAAGCUAAAUAUUGGCGAGAGACCGAUAGCGAACAAGUACAGUGAUGGAAAGAUGAAAAGAACUUUGAAAAGAGAGUGAAAAAGUACGUGAAAUUGUUGAAAGGGAAGGGCAUUUGAUCAGACAUGGUGUUUUGUGCCCUCUGCUCCUUGUGGGUAGGGGAAUCUCGCAUUUCACUGGGCCAGCAUCAGUUUUGGUGGCAGGAUAAAUCCAUAGGAAUGUAGCUUGCCUCGGUAAGUAUUAUAGCCUGUGGGAAUACUGCCAGCUGGGACUGAGGACUGCGACGUAAGUCAAGGAUGCUGGCAUAAUGGUUAUAUGCCGCCCGUCUUGAAACACGGACCCAAA